CUACGGGUCGCACCAGUGAGGAAUAUUGCACAAUAGGGGGAACCCUGAUGCAGCAACGCCGCGUGGAGGAUGACGCAUUUCGGUGUGUAAACUCCUUUUAUAUGUCAAGAAAAUGACGGUAGCAUAUGAAUAAGCACCGGCUAACUCCGUGCCAGCAGCCGCGGUAAUACGGAGGGUGCAAGCGUUACUCGGAAUCACUGGGCGUAAAGGACGCGUAGGCGGGUUGGAAAGUCAGGUGUGAAAUCCUACAGCUUAACUGUAGAACUGCACUUGAAACUUCUAACCUAGAGUAUGGGAGGGGGAGAUGGAAUUAGUGGUGUAGGGGUAAAAUCCGUAGAUAUCACUAGGAAUACCUAAAGCGAAGGCGAUCUCCUGGAACAUUACUGACGCUAAGGCGUGAAAGCGUGGGGAGCAAACAGAAUUAGAUACCCCCGUAGUC
rnacentral:rRNA from 1 species